GAUGAACGCUGGCGGCGUGCCUAAUACAUGCAAGUCGAGCGAACGGACGAGAAGCUUGCUUCUCUGAUGUUAGCGGCGGACGGGUGAGUAACACGUGGAUAACCUACCUAUAAGACUGGGAUAACUUCGGGAAACCGGAGCUAAUACCGGAUGAUAUUUUGAACCGCAUGGUUCAAAAGUGAAAGACGGUCUUGCUGUCACUUAUAGAUGGAUCCGCGCUGCAUUAGCUAGUUGGUAAGGUAACGGCUUACCAAGGCAACGAUGCAUAGCCGACCUGAGAGGGUGAUCGGCCACACUGGAACUGAGACACGGUCCAGACUCCUACGGGAGGCAGCAGUAGGGAAUCUUGCGCAAUGGGCGAAAGCCUGACGGAGCAACGCCGCGUGAGUGAUGAAGGUCUUCGGAUCGUAAAACUCUGUUAGUAGGGAAGAACAUAUGUGUAAGUAACUGUGCACAUCUUGACGGUACCUAAUCAGAAAGCCACGGCUAACUACGUG
rnacentral:rRNA from 1 species